UACGGAGGGUGCAAGCGUUGUCCGGAAUCACUGGGCGUAAAGCGUGCGCAGGCGGUUUUGUAAGUCUGUCGUGAAAUCCCCGGGCUUAACCUGGGAAUGGCGAUGGAGACUGCAAGGCUAGAGUUUGGCAGAGGGGGGUAGAAUUCCACGUGUAGCAGUGAAAUGCGUAGAGAUGUGGAGGAACACCGAUGGCGAAGGCAGCCCCCUGGGUCAAAACUGACGCUCAUGCACGAAAGCGUGGGGAGCAAACAGG
rnacentral:rRNA from 1 species